UACAGAGGUCUCGAGCGUUAAUCGGAGUCACUGGGCUUAAAGGGUGCGUAGGCGGCGCCGCAAGUGCCUUGUGAAAUCCCACGGCUCAACCGUGGAAUUGCUCGGCAGACUGUGGCGCUUGAGGUCGGUAGGGGUCGCUGGAACUCUAGGUGGAGCGGUGAAAUGCGUAGAUAUCUAGAGGAACGCCAAAGGUGAAGACAGGCGACUGGGCCGAUUCUGACGCUGAGGCACGAAAGCGUGGGGAGCGAACGGG
rnacentral:rRNA from 1 species